AACGAACGCUGGCGGCAGGUCUUAGGCAUGCAAGUCGAACGGGUGCAGUAAUACACCAGUGGCGAACGAGUGAGUAACGCGUGGGAAUCUGCCCAUCUCUGGGGAAUAACGUUUGGAAACGAACGCUAAUACCGCAUACGCCCGCAAGGGGAAAGAUUUAUCGGAGAUGGAUGAGCCCGCGUUGGAUUAGUUAGUUGGUGGGGUAACGGCCUACCAAGGCGAUGAUCCAUAGCUGGUCUGAGAGGACGAUCAGCCACGCUGGAACUGAGAUACGGUCCAGACUCAUACGGGAGGCAGCAGCUAAGAAUAUUGGGCAAUGGAGGAAACUCUGACCCAGCCAUGCCGCGUGAAUGAAGAAGGCCUUCGGGUUGUAAAGUUUUUUUAGUCGUGACGAUGAUGACGGUAGCGACAGAAAAAGCACCGGCUAACUUCGUGCCAGCCGCCGCAGUAA
rnacentral:rRNA from 1 species